UAUUAUACUAAUAGAUAAUAUAAGCCUGAAUUAUUAAUAGAUAUAUUCUUUAAAUUUGAAGAAUUUGGCGGUGAUUUAGUCUUGUUAGAGGAACCUGUUUUUGGAUCGAUACACCACGUAAAAUCUUGCUCGUUUUACUGUAGUUUAUAUACCGUCAUUAUCAGAUAAUUUUAAGAAAAUUAAUUAUUGGAAUUUAAAAUAAUAUAUUAAAUUAGAUCAAGGUGUAGCUUAUAAACGAGUUAAAAUGGGUUACAAUAAAACUUAUUUAUCACGGAGUAAUAGAAAAAGAAAAUGUUAAUAUGAAGGAGGAUUUAAUUGUAAUAGAAGUUUAAUAAGCUUAAAAGAUAUAAGCUCUAAAUUAU
rnacentral:rRNA from 1 species